GACGAACGCUGGCGGCGUGCCUAAUACAUGCAAGUCGAACGCAGUGGGGACGGGUGAGUAACACGUGGGUAACCUCCCAUCAGAGGGGAUAACACUUUGAAACAGGUGCUAAACCGAUACUGAUGGAUGGACCCGCGGUUCAUUAGCUAGUUGGUUGGGUAACGGCUCACCAAGGCCACGAUGCAUAGCGGACCGGAGAGGGUGAUAGACCACACGGGGGCUGAGCCACGGCCCAGACUCCUACGGGAAGCAGCAGUAGGGAAUCUUAGGCAAUGGACGAAAGUAUGACCGAGCAACGGCUCGUGAGUGAAGAAGGUUUUCGGAUCGUAAAACUCUGUUGUUAGAGAAGCGGUAUCUAACCAGAAAGCCACGGCUAACUACGGGCCAGCCGCCGCGGUAAUAC
rnacentral:rRNA from 1 species